UAUAAUUUUCAGAAAUUUUAG
rnacentral:piRNA from 1 species